CAUUGAAACAGCAGUUCCUGUACGAUCACCAAAGUUUAGCAAUGUCAAGCCUGGUCAGUACCUAGAUGGGUGACUGCUUGGGAAUACUAGAUGUUGUAA